UCGUGUCGUGAGAUGUUGGGUUAAGUCCCGCAACGAGCGCAACCCUAUCUUUAGUUGCCAUCAUUGAGUUGGGCACUCUAAAGAGACUGCCGGUGUCAAACCGGAGGAAGGUGGGGAUGACGUCAAGUCCUCAUGGCCUUUAUGACCAGGGCUACACACGUACUACAAUGGCCGGUACAAAGGGCAGCGACACAGCGAUGCGAAGCCAAUCCCGAAAAGCCGGUCUCAGUCCGGAUUGGAGUCUGCAACUCGACUCCAUGAAGUUGGAAUCGCUAGUAAUCGCGGAUCAGCACGCCGCGGUGAAUACGUUCCCGGGCCUU
rnacentral:rRNA from 1 species